AAAAAAAAGAAAUUAUGAAAAACAUCCAAGACAAUUUUGAAGAACAGCAAGGUCAAACCAACUUACCCCACCAUAUAUCCAGAUAGUUAAAGUUAGAGCAUUGGAAGGGCAAACAAAACAGAGAAUAGAGAUCCCAGAAAUAGACACACACACACACGAUAACUGGAUGCUGGAUGUAAGAGAAGACUGGCAUUAAAAAUCACUGAGGAAAAGAUGUAUUAGUGUUCUAUCUGUGUUUAUCAGUUAUCUAUAUAUAUAUUAGUU
rnacentral:lncRNA from 1 species